CCCUUAGAUGUCCUGGGCCGCACGCGCGUUACACUGAUGCAUUCAACGAGCUUAUAACCUUGGCCGAGAGGCCUGGGCAAUCUUGUUAACGUGCAUCGUGAUAGGGAUAGAUUAUUGAAAUUAUUAAUCUUGAACGAGGAAUUCCUAGUAAACGCAGAUCAUCAAUCUGCAUUGAUUACGUCCCUGCCCUUUGUACACACCGCCCGUCGCACCUACCGAUUGGAUGGUCCGGUGAAGCCUCGGGAUUGUGGUUCUUGCCGCUUUAUUGUGGCGUGACCGCGACAACUUGUCUAAACCUUAUCAUCUAGAGGAAGGUGAAGUCGUAACA
rnacentral:rRNA from 1 species